rnacentral:lncRNA from 1 species
UCGGUCAUGGCAUUUCACCCCCCUCGGUUAUAAUUGGGAAAAGGGAGGAAGGACGAAGGGGUGGGUUUCAAGUUUCGACCUAUUAACUUAGAUUUGGAUACAUCCGGCUUGGUAUCCAUUAAGUCUUUAAAUCCCAACCCAUUAGCCACUUAAGGUUGAAUCAAGUUGAGCCAGUUUAAUUUGGUUUAGGGGACUUUUGCAAUUUAAUCCCUAAUUAAGUGUUUUAUUACAUAAAGGUCUUUUAAAAUUGCAUUUUGGCCCACGUUAUAAACUUUAUUACAUAGAUCUCCAGA